CCGAAAUGUCACAUCAAUUAUACCACAAAUUUGAAAAUACCAAUACCAAUGAAAGUCCUUCUUUCUUAUUGAAGAAUCACCAUCCCAAACAAAAAUCAGGAGGAGAUCGUAUUUGUCCCCAGCCCUAUCCUUUUUAUUUUUUAUUUUUAUUUUUGGCGAUAUUCACUUCUAUCGAGUUUUUUGCGAUAUUCACUUCUAUCAAGUCUGUUAAAGCACUAUAAGUACUUUUGUUAUUCACUAGACUUUAAGCCAAUCCACUACAUCACCGUAUAGCGGCCUGAAGCCGUUCUUUACUAAUUUCUGGAAACAGACUCUUGCCUUUUUGGUAUUUUGAAAUAGGACACUUUUUCAUUUUUUAUCAUUUUCUUAUCAUUUUUUAUCAUUUUUUUAGCAUUUCUACACGAUUUUUAACACAUUUUUUACAUUGACAUUCACAUGGUUUAAACACGGAACUGUUUAUUCACGUCUGUUGCACCUAUUUUUUAUUGUUCAUCUACGUUUUCUCUGCAGUUUUUUGGCACUAUUAGGAUACAACACACCAUUAUUGACUUAAGGACACACAGGACUUUCAUUACCCUUCAAAGGAUCCUCAAAAUAUAUAUUUAUCUCUUACAUCUUUAUCCCAUCGUUUGUACACCUAUACAUUGUUCUUACCAUUGUUUUUAUAUAUCUGCAUUAUUUUAAUUAUUUAUUGUAUCUACUAUUUAUUGUUAAGUCAUUAUGGAUCCAUGAAUAUUUGGUUUUAUAUAUUGUAUUGUAUGUAUUAAAUCAAAUUUUAAUAUCUUA